GGUAGCUUAGCUGGUGAAGCGCUCGUCUACCUUAUAAGAGUCCUGGGUUCGAAUCCCAGCC
rnacentral:tRNA from 1 species